CUGUUCACGAACCGAGCCGAGCCGAGUUUUGACCGAGUCGAGCCGAGCUUUAAAUUUUUUCCUAUCGAACCGAGCCGAGCCGAGCUUUCUUAUCGAACAAAAAAGUGUGUUCGAGCUCGAGCUCGAUAACUAACGAGCCGAACACGAGCUUGUUCACGAACAAAUACGAACCGAGCCGAGCUAGAUAAAAAUAAGGUCAAACCGCUACUUUACUCUUAAAAUAGCAAGCCAAAUAAAAUUUUUAGCAUGUUUUGAUGGUAC
rnacentral:lncRNA from 1 species